CCCGGGUCUUGUACACACCGCCCGUCACACCACGAGAGUUUACAACACCCGAAGUCGGUGAGGUAACCGCAAGGAGCCAGCCGCCGAAGGUGGGGUAGAUGAUUGGGGUG
rnacentral:rRNA from 1 species